AUAUGUUAUCUGGAGAAGACGGGACUACCUCUUCACCAAGGUUCAAAUCAAAACGACGGUCGGAAGGUCCAGACAUUUUCAAAGUGUUGAAUGAAGAAGAGGUCGGACGAAUCAAGAUCUUAGAAGUGCAAGAAGGGAGUUUUCACAAGUAAAAUUCAAGUGUGCUUUGAAACGAACAUCGUGCCUCUAUAAAAAAUCAACACUCGACGGGAUUUCAGAGAUCGAAGGGGCAAGCUCAGAAUUCGAAGACGCCAAUUCAAAAAUCGAAGAGGCAAGCACAGAAAUCGGAGAAGCAUCUUGCUUUUCCAGACGUGUCGGCACCCUUCACACGCAAACUCAGCUUUGCGGAAAUCACGGGUAAUUUGUCGAAGCGCCAAUCCCAGAUAUCGAAGAGGCGCCAGUCUUUUUCAGCCGAGUCAUCACCUGUCAUAUGCACACUCAACUUUGCGCAAAUCACGGGCAAUUUGUCGAAGAUUUUCGGUGAAGGAGAAAGCACGUGAAAUUUUACUGUUCAAUCACGCGUUAGUUGCCGACACGAGUGAAAGAAUAGUACCUCUACAGGUAUUAAAGAACUUCCUAUAAACUGUCCACCUUCACCUUACAUAGUAAGGUAGACAUACAUAACAUUUCUUCAUCUCCAAAAAUGCUUUCCCAACGAAACCUCUCGAGUCAUUCAGUGUUCCUUAUUCCUUGGGGUACCUCAGCAAACAAAUGACUCCAAAGCAAAAGUAUCUCAUAUCACCAGGGUAGAAAGCAAGAGUAUCUCAUAUCAUGCGUUCUCCCU
rnacentral:lncRNA from 1 species